GUCCACGCCGUAAACGAUGGGCACUAGGUGUAGGAGGUAUUGACCCCUUCUGUGCCGAAGCUAACGCAUUAAGUGCCCCGCCUGGGGAGUACGGCCGCAAGGCUAAAACUCAAAGGAAUUGACGGGGCCCGCACAAGCGGUGGAGCAUGUGGUUCAAUUCGACGCAACGCGAAGAACCUUACCUGGGCUUGACAUCCGCUGACACAUCCUGGAAACAGGAUCUUCUCCGCAAGGGGACAGCGAGACAGGUGCUGCAUGGCUGUCGU
rnacentral:rRNA from 1 species